CCUACGGGCGGCAGCAGUGAGGAAUAUUGGUCAAUGGGCGAAAGCCUGAACCAGCCAAGUAGCGUGCAGGAUGACGGCCCUACGGGUUGUAAACCUCUUUUAUCCGGGAAUAACGCGCCUUACGCGUAGGGCUUUGCAUGUACCGGACGAAUAAGGACCGGCUAAAUCCGUGCCAGCAGCCGCGGUAAUACGGAGGGUGCGGGCGUUAUCCGGAUUUAUUGGGUUUAAAGGGUGCGUAGGCCGGAAGUCAAGUGAGCUGUGAAAUGUCCGGGCUCAACCCGGUCCUUGCAGUGGAAACUGGGUUGCUUGAGUGCGCGAGAGGCAAGCGGAAUUCGUGGUGUAGCGGUGAAAUGCAUAGAUAUGACGAAGAACCCCGAUUGCGAAGGCAGCUUGCUGGAGCGGAACUGACGCUGAUGCACGAAAGCGCGGGUAUCGAACAGGAUUAGAUACCCCAGUAGUC
rnacentral:rRNA from 1 species